AUUAAAAACAAAUAAAGAUCUUUCAGAAAAUUUAAGAAAAUUAAAAAAAAAAAACAAAAUAGGAUAAAAUCUUUAUAAUUAAAGUUUUAUCAAUGAAGAAAAAGAAAGGAAGAAGAAAUAAUAUGACUAUCGAUUAUAUCGAAACAAGAAAAAAAACUAUUUGCUUUAUUACAGUCCCUUUUCUUUCAAAGGCCGGCAAUUUUUGCCAACACACAUACUAACAUUUUUGUAUCAGAUAUAAAUAUAAUCACAAGAACUGUUUGGAUUAAUGAAGGUUUACAAGAAUGAGUCUACAAAGAAAACUAUCUGCGAUGGAGUGCCGCAACGAUCUAAAUUAGGGUCAGUACUAGUCAACAGAUAUACACCGCUAACCGGCCCGCCAGUUUUUGGGACUAUUACCUAUAGUGAAGUUUGAAGAUCAACAGCAACAAGACCGAACUCAUCUGCUUCAGAACACCAACAACAGCAAAAAGAAGUUGCAGACAUUUUGCAUCAAGCUGUGAUAGUAUCAAGCUAUCAGAAUGCAUGGAAAUAGAAGUCGCAGUCAUCAAAAAGUAUUUUGGAGUCAACUUUUCCAACCGGUUGCAUUUUAACAAGCACGCAUCUUUAAUAUUGAAAAUAAACAACUUUUCCAUUCACUUGGUCUCUCCGUUUCUCGGGAAACGAAACGGAUUAAGUGGGAAGACGAAACUUCUGGCUUACAAAUUAUUAAUCUGUCCAGUACUGACGUAUGUCUGUCUUGUAUGGUUCAAAAUCUCCCCCACAUCAAUGAAGAAGAUCUAUAGCUUCUCGAAGAAUGCAACAUAAUUCGCAUCUCUACACAACUACAGAGAAAUUCAGAUGGGUUGAAAAAUAAAACUCUUAUCUAACAUAAAAAAAAAAUUAUAUUCGAUAUAAUUUUCAAGGUUAUUAAAAUGAUUUCGAGGUAUUGAAACUUUCUCAAAAACAGAUCUAUCAAUAUCAAUUUAAUAUAAAAUGCUCUAAGUCUAAUGACUUCCUUUUACCAAUUUAGAGUCAGUCUUACAGCUAAAAUAGGUGUUAAAGAGGGCGAAAAAUGAAAAAAUCUCAUACAUAUGUAUACCAUUUGACUUUUCAGAUUAAAUAAGUUUGGUCGUCUAGAUUCAAUUAUCUGACUUUAUAGAUAACUAUUCCUUAUUUCGUGACUGAUACGAACUAAGCAUUAGAAAAAACAAAGAGACCUAUAGCCCACGAAAUAGUAAAAUUUAUUUUACUGACUUUAUAGAUGUUACACAAGAUUCAGACACGCAUUCUCAAGAUUUUGAGAGUCUUGCGUCUUGCUAGACCAUACACGACGUAAAAAGAGAUAUGCACUGAAAAUAAACGCUUCUUCAAACUGCAUCCAAAUUUUGUCGAAGACACAUUUUUGUCCAAAUUGCAAAUGAGUAUACGACUCUCUUUUGACUGUUUUACCGCCGCUUUGUAACAAAUAGAAAUUCAUAUUCCCUGUCCAACAGAGCGUUUUUCAACUUAGAAAAAAAUCGUAUUCUGUCCGUUAAAUUCUUCCGUUUUGGAUUUCUCAUUUCCUCAACAACCGAACUAGCUAAAACAUGUUUGAAACAAGCCUCCCACUCGCGAAGAUCGUACUCGAGAAAAAAUUUACUUAUGUAUGUGUAUGUGUAGUGUCAAAAAUAAGGUUCUACAUUUAACAUUUAAACAUUUUUUGAACGAUUUUUA